AGUGAACGCUGGCGGUAGGCCUAACACAUGCAAGUCGAACGGCAGCACAGUAAGAGCUUGCUCUUACGGGUGGCGAGUGGCGGACGGGUGAGGAAUACAUCGGAAUCUACUUUUUCGUGGGGGAUAACGUAGGGAAACUUACGCUAACACCGCAUACGACCUACGGGUGAAAGCAGGGGAUCUUCGGACCUUGCGCGAUUGAAUGAGCCGAUGUCGGAUUAGCUAGUUGGCGGGGUAAAGGCCCACCAAGGCGACGAUCCGUAGCUGGUCUGAGAGGAUGAUCAGCCACACUGGAACUGAGACACGGUCCAGACUCCUACGGGAGGCAGCAGUGGGGAAUAUUGGACAAUGGGCGCAAGCCUGAUCCAGCCAUACCGCGUGGGUGAAGAAGGCCUUCGGGUUGUAAAGCCCUUUUGUUGGGAAAGAAAAGCAGCAGGUUAAUACCCCGCUGUUCUGACGGUACCCAAAUAAUAAGCACCGGCUAACUUCGUG
rnacentral:rRNA from 1 species